UGGGGAAUCUUGCACAAUGGGGGAAACCCUGAUGCAGCGACGCCGCGUGAGCGAUGAAGGUUUUCGAAUCGUAAAGCUCUGUCCUAUGGGAAGAUAAUGACGGUACCAUGGGAGGAAGCCCCGGCUAACUACGUGCCAGCAGCCGCGGUAAUACGUAGGGGGCGAGCGUUGUCCGGAAUUACUGGGCGUAAAGGGUUCGCAGGCGGCAUGGCAAGUCCGAUGUAAAAGGCGAAGGCUCAACCUUCGUAAGCAUCGGAAACUGUCAAGCUUGAGUGAAGGAGAGGCAAGUGGAAUUCCUAGUGUAGCGGUGGAAUGCGUAGAUAUUAGGAGGAAUACCGGUGGCGAAGGAGACUUGCUGGACUUCAACUGACACUGAGGAACGAAAGAGUGGGUAGCAAACAGG
rnacentral:rRNA from 1 species